AGUGAACGCUGGCGGUAGGCCUAACACAUGCAAGUCGAACGGCAGCACAGUAAUAGCUUGCUCUUACGGGUGGCGAGUGGCGGACGGGUGGGGAAUACAUCGGAAUCUACUUUUUCGUGGGGGAUAACGUAGGGAAACUUACGCUAAUACCGCAUACGACCUACGGGUGAAAGCAGGGGAUCUUCGGACCUUGCGCGAUUGAAUGAGCCGAUGUCGGAUUAGCUAGUUGGCGGGGUAAAGGCCCACCAAGGCGACGAUCCGUAGCUGGUCUGAGAGGAUGAUCAGCCACACUGGAACUGAGACACGGUCCAGACUCCUACGGGAGGCAGCAGUGGGGAAUAUUGGACAAUGGGCGCAAGCCUGAUCCAGCCAUACCGCGUGGGUGAAGAAGGCCUUCGGGUUGUAAAGCCCUUUUGUUGGGAAAGAAAAGCAGCAGGUUAAUACCCCGCUGUUCUGACGGUACCCAAAGAAUAAGCACCGGCUAACUUCGUG
rnacentral:rRNA from 1 species